AGAGUUUGAUCCUGGCUCAGGAUGAACGCUGGCGGCGUGCCUAAUACAUGCAAGUCGAGCGAACGGACGAGAAGCUUGCUUCUCUGAUGUUAGCGGCGGACGGGUGAGUAACACGUGGAUAACCUACCUAUAAGACUGGGAUAACUUCGGGAAACCGGAGCUAAUACCGGAUAAUAUUUUGAACCGCAUGGUUCAAAAGUGAAAGACGGUCUUGCUGUCACUUAUAGAUGGAUCCGCGCUGCAUUAGCUAGUUGGUAAGGUAACGGCUUACCAAGGCAACGAUGCAUAGCCGACCUGAGAGGGUGAUCGGCCACACUGGAACUGAGACACGGUCCAGACUCCUACGGGAGGCAGCAGUAGGGAAUCUUCCGCAAUGGGCGAAAGCCUGACGGAGCAACGCCGCGUGAGUGAUGAAGGUCUUCGGAUCGUAAAACUCUGUUAUUAGGGAAGAACAUAUGUGUAAGUAACUGUGCACAUCUUGACGGUACCUAAUCAGAAAGCCACGGCUAACUACGUGCCAGCAGCCGCGGUAAUACGUAGGUGGCAAGCGUUAUCCGGAAUUAUUGGGCGUAAAGCGCGCGUAGGCGGUUUUUUAAGUCUGAUGUGAAAGCCCACGGCUCAACCGUGGAGGGUCAUUGGAAACUGGAAAACUUGAGUGCAGAAGAGGAAAGUGGAAUUCCAUGUGUAGCGGUGAAAUGCGCAGAGAUAUGGAGGAACACCAGUGGCGAAGGCGACUUUCUGGUCUGUAACUGACGCUGAUGUGCGAAAGCGUGGGGAUCAAACAGGAUUAGAUACCCUGGUAGUCCACGCCGUAAACGAUGAGUGCUAAGUGUUAGGGGGUUUCCGCCCCUUAGUGCUGCAGCUAACGCAUUAAGCACUCCGCCUGGGGAGUACGACCGCAAGGUUGAAACUCAAAGGAAUUGACGGGGACCCGCACAAGCGGUGGAGCAUGUGGUUUAAUUCGAAGCAACGCGAAGAACCUUACCAAAUCUUGACAUCCUUUGACAACUCUAGAGAUAGAGCUUUCCCCUUCGGGGGACAAAGUGACAGGUGGUGCAUGGUUGUCGUCAGCUCGU
rnacentral:rRNA from 1 species